AAACUGAUCAGCGCGAGCUUUAUGACAUUUGUAUAAUGAAUGUUCACUUCCUGACAGCUGCCGUUAAACGUUUGAGGCACGUCUGCAAAUAACCACCGAGCUGUUUAACGAAGCAAGAAACCGGCGGUGAGACGGGAUAUUUUCCUCAAGCUACUGUUAAGAAGUACAUCUUGAGUCCGCUGUAGCAAGGCAGAGGAAAACAGACUCGUUGCCGGUGGAGCAGAUGCACACAGUAAUCCGGGGUGAAAGGACACGAUGUUUUCCCUGCUGAAGAAGAAAAACUGUUUCUACAAGGUAACGUGGGUGUACAAGGAGAGAGUCACUCCAUGCUGGAAGAGUAAUAUGGACUACAGCCUGGAAGUCUGCCAGAGUCCAAAAAUGUGUCCCCCUCAAGAGGCAAUUACUCAAGAAACAGUGGAUUAAAGUGUUUU